GUAUGUAAGAGAGGGAAAGAGUACACAGAGCUUUACCUCCGCCUGUCUUGCGUCCCUGCCCACAGACUAAUCAAAGCUGCAGGCUCAGUGUUUUCCUGAGUGCAGAGAAUGAAUGUUCUCUACCACUGCCCCUCAGGACAGAAGGCACCAUUUGUACAGAAGGCAGGAAGGAGUAGAAAGAGUUUCAGUGGCUUGGGGUUGCUUUGCUCUUCCCCUUUCUCUGCUCCUGUGACAAGGGGAGGGUUCUUGUGUUUCUCCCCUUCUCUUCAUCCCAGCACUAGGGCCAUCCUUAGGCAUACAAAGCAUACUCGGCUGCGUAGGGCACCUGAAAAUUUGGGGCACCACUGGGACAGCAGAAUGGAUGCAGCACGACAGGACAGCUGGAUCCCUCAGAUGGGGAUAGGACCUCAAGGCAGGAACAGAUGAGCAUCUUCUCAGUGCCUGUUUGCUGCUGCAGAGAGGGGAGCUGGAGCAUUGUGACAUAUGAAGUAUCUCAGCCAAUCAUCCAUCACUCCCCCAGUAACACUAACCUUCACUUUAAACU